CAUAUAGUACAAUACACUAUAGAUUCUUCUAAAUCAUCUCUCACUUUUUCGAGGAAUUGUUCAUCAUUGUCUUCAUAUCUGAUAUGAACUCUUACUAUCAAAACUUCGAAAGCAUCAUUUAUUGAUUUGCCUGUGCAAUCAACCACAAAUUUGUGCCAGUACUACACUACUUCCAAACUGUGGCUUCUUCACAUUCUGACUUGUGCAGAUCCCGGCCAAUCCUGGCCAGCUGCUCCAGUCAUCAACUCCAUCAGAAGCCAAAACGUUUGUUCUAUGACUAACAAAACUCCUAUGAAAGGCCUCAGCUAUUUGUAACCAUUCAUCUAUGACUAAUAAAUGACAUGUUUUUCUAUAUAUUUUCAUGUGAUUGUUUGUCUUCGCAGACACUGUCGGGCAAUGAAAGAGGUGUGAGUAAACAAAACCCUCACAGCUUGGUUGAGGUAAGAUGCCUGGAGUUGCUCCUACACUGCUACACAGAAGGUGGUGUUAGGGUGAGUUUGAGAGAGGAAAGAAGAGGCAGCAGAUCACGUAAAACGAUAUACUUUAUUAGUGAAUGAUAAAUUACAUAUUAGCUAACUUAAAAGAAUAGAUUAAUAUAAGUUUCUAAAAUCAUUUCUAGAUACAUUUCUUUUUUUAAAGAAAACGUACCAUUUAGCAACUUUGAAAC
rnacentral:lncRNA from 1 species